GCCUGGGUGGCUCAGUCGGUUGAGCGUCUGACUUCGGCUCAGGUCACGAUCUCACGGUCCGUGAGUUCGAGCCCCGCGUCAGGCU
rfam:Felis catus isolate Cinnamon breed Abyssinian chromosome B3, whole genome shotgun sequence.